AGAAUCAACGCUGGCGACGUGCCUCAGACAUGCAAGUCGAACGCGAAAGUCCCCUUCGGGGGACAAGUAGAGUGGCGCACGGGUGAGUAACACGUAGGUAAUCUACCUUCGGGUGGGGAAUAACAACCGGAAACGGUUGCUAAUACCGCAUAAUGCAGCGGCACCUAAUGGUGACAGUUGUUAAAGCGGGGGAUCGCAAGAUCUCGCGCCUGAAGAGGAGCCUGCGGCGGAUUAGCUAGUUGGUAGGGUAAUGGCCUACCAAGGCGACGAUCCGUAGC
rnacentral:rRNA from 1 species